CAGCUGAGCAGAAGACACAGUGAAGCAGGUGAGGAACCGAGUCAUGCAGAUAUGUGAAGGAAGAGCACUGCUGGAUCGUCCUCUGCACACCCAGGACUGCCCCAGGCGGGCAGUAAAACUGCAGUGGGAUUGGAGUGGGAAGAAUGGCUCACUUCUCCCUGAGGAGCAGGCUCCAGGCAAGAGGCUGGGCUGUAGCUGAGAGUCCAAGAGCCAUCCCUCCCCCGCCCUGCCCGGCGCAGGGACAUGGAAAGAGCAGCAGGAAUGGAAGAAAAAUGUAACUGAUUCCUCCCUCUGCCGUCUUUUCCUCUUGGCUACUCUACUUUUCGGUCUGCAAACCCAUAAUACUUCCAAGGAAUGCCUGUAUUGACAAACUGACAAAAUGCAUAUGGAGAGGCCAGAGAGCUGGAACAGCCAGCACACUAUAGAAGUCGGUGGACACUUGAAAACCCUACCUGAGGUCAAG